CAGUAGCCGCGGUAAUACGUAGGUGGCAAGCGUUGUCCGGAAUUAUUGGGCGUAAAGGGCUCGCAGGCGGUUUCUUAAGUCUGAUGUGAAAACCCCCGGCUCAACCGGGGAGGGUCAUUGGAACCUGGGAAACUUGAGUGCAGAAGAGGAGAGUGGAAUUCCACGUGUAGCGGUGAAAUGCGUAGAGAUGUGGAGGAACACCAGUGGCGAAGGCGACUCUCUGGUCUGUAACUGACGCUGAGGAGCGAAAGCGUGGGGAGCGAACAGGAUUAGAUACCCCUGUAGUCCCUGUCUCUUAUAA
rnacentral:rRNA from 1 species